UAGUCCACGCCGUAAACGAUGAUUACUAGGUGUGGGGGGACUGACCCCUUCCGUGCCGGAGUUAACACAAUAAGUAAUCCACCUGGGGAGUACGACCGCAAGGUUGAAACUCAAAGGAAUUGACGGGGGCCCGCACAAGCAGUGGAGUAUGUGGUUUAAUUCGAAGCAACGCGAAGAACCUUACCAGGUCUUGACAUCGAGUGACGGAUACAGAGAUGUAUCCUUCCUUCGGGACACGAAGACAGGUGGUGCAUGGUUGUCGUCAGCUCGUGUCGUGAGAUGUUGGGUUAAGUCCCGCAACGAGCGCAACCCUUAUCAUUAGUUGCUACGCAAGAGCACUCUAGUGAGACUGCCGUGGAUAACACGGAGGAAGGUGGGGAUGACGUCAAAUCAUCAUGCCCUUUAUGACCUGGGCUACACACGUACUACAAUGGCACUCAAACAGAGGGAAGCGACACCGCGAGGUGAAGCAAAUCCCGAAAAAGUGUCUCAGUUCGGAUUGCAGGCUGCAACUCGCCUGCAUGAAGUCGGAAUUGCUAGUAAUCGCGGAUCAGCAUGCCGCGGUGAAUACGUUCCCGGGCCUUGUACACACCGCCCGUCACACCAUGAGAGCCGGUAACACCCGAAGUCAGUAGCCUAACCGCGAGGGGGGCGCUGCCGAAGGUGGGAUUGGUAAUUGGGGUGAAGUCGUAACAAGGUAGCCGUAUCGGAAGGUGCGGUUGGAUCACCUC
rnacentral:rRNA from 1 species